UAUGGAAAAGCAAAUGUAGGCAUGAGUAACGAUAAUGCGGGAGAGUAACCCGCACACCGCAAGACCAAGGUUUCCUGAUCAACGCUAAUCGGAUCAGGGUUAGUCGGGUCCUAAGGGUAAGCCGAACGGCGAUCUCGAUGGAUAAUCGGUUAAUAUUCCGAUACUAACAUAUACCUCGAUGGAGAGACGAAGGAACGUAAGUGCCGCCACCUGACGGAAUAGGUGGUUAAAGGGCGUAGGUAUAGGGGCAGAUUAAGAGUUAGUCCUUGCUGAAACCUGACAGUACAGAGAGCCUACGGGCAAUUUGAUAGAGCACCCAAGUCGACUUCCGAGAAAAUCUUCUAAGUUAUAGUAUAUGUUACCCGUACCGUAAACCGACACAGGUGGUCGAGGAGAGUAUCCUAAGGUGCUCGAGUGAAUCACGGUUAAGGAACUAGGCAAAUUAACCCCGUAACUUCGGGAAAAGGGGUCCCUAUGAAAGUAGGGCGCAGCGAAGAGGUCCAGGCGACUGUUUAUCAAAAACACAGGGCUCUGCAAAUUCGAAAGAAGACGUAUAGGGCCUGACACCUGCCCGGUGCUGGAAGGUUAAGAGGGGAUGUCAUCGCAAGAGAAGCAUUGAAUCGAAGCCCCAGUAAACGGCGGCCGUAACUAUAACGGUCCUAAGGUAGCGAAAUUCCUUGUCGGGUAAGUUCCGACCUGCACGAAUGGUGUAACGAUCUGGACACUGUCUCAACCGUGAGCUCGGUGAAAUUGUAGUCCCGGUGAUGAUGCCGGGUACCCGCAACGGGACGAAAAGACCCCGUGAACCUUUACUAUAGCUUAACGCUGAAUUUGGGUACAUAAUGUGUAGGAUAGGCCGGAGGCUUUGAAGCGGGCACGCCAGUGUUCGUGGAGCCGACGUUGAAAUACGGCCCUUUGUGUAUUUGAGUUCUAACCCCGUAAGGGAGACACCGUUUGGUGGGUAGUUUGACUGGGGUGGUCGCCUCCAAAAGCGUAACGGAGGCUUCCCAAGGUACCCUCAGCACGAAUGGUAACCGUGCGCGGAGUGCAAUAGCAUAAGGGUGCUUGACUGUGAGACAUACAAGUCGACCAGGUACGAAAGUAGGGUAUAGUGAUCCGGUGGUUCUGCGUGGACUGGCCAUCGCUCAAAGGAUAAAAGGUACUCCGGGGAUAACAGGCUGAUCGCCGCCAAGAGCUCAUAUCGACGCGGCGGUUUGGCACCUCGAUGUCGGCUCGUCACAUCCUGGGGCUGGAGAAGGUCCCAAG
rnacentral:rRNA from 1 species